GUGGGGAAUAUUGGACAAUGGGCGAAAGCCUGAUCCAGCCAUGCCGCGUGUGUGAAGAAGGUCUUCGGAUUGUAAAGCACUUUAAGUUGGGAGGAAGGGCAGUAAGUUAAUACCUUGCUGUUUUGACGUUACCGACAGAAUAAGCACCGGCUAACUUCGUGCCAGUAGCCGCGGUAAUACGAAGGGUGCAAGCGUUAAUCGGAAUUACUGGGCGUAAAGCGCGCGUAGGUGGUUUUGUAAGUUGGAGGUGAAAUCCCCGGGCUCAACCUGGGAACUGCCUCCAAAACUGCAUGACUAGAGUACGGUAGAGGGUGGUGGAAUUUCCUGUGUAGCGGUGAAAUGCGUAGAUAUAGGAAGGAACACCAGUGGCGAAGGCGACCACCUGGACUGAUACUGACACUGAGGUGCGAAAGCGUGGGGAGCAAACAGGAUUAGAUACCCUAGUAGUCC
rnacentral:rRNA from 1 species